rnacentral:misc_RNA from 1 species
GAUGAAGAACGGAGCGAAAUGCGAUACGUAAUGUGAAUUGCAAAUUCAGUGAAUCAUCGAGUCUUUGAACGCACAUUGCGCCCCCUGGUAUUCCGGGGGGCAUGCCUGUCCGAGCGUCAUUGCUGCCCUCAAGCACGGCUUGUGUGUUGGGCCCCGUCCUCCGAUCCCGGGGGACGGGCCCGAAAGGCAGCGGCGGCACCGCGUCCGGUCCUCGAGCGUAUGGGGCUUUGUCACCCGCUCUGUAGGCCCGGCCGGCGCUUGCCGAUCAACCCAAAUUUUUAUCCAGGUUGACCUCGGAUCAGGUAGGGAUACCCGCUGAACUUAAGCAUAUCAAUAAGCGGAGGA